AGAGUUUGAUCAUGGCUCAGAUUGAACGCUGGCGGCAGGCCUAACACAUGCAAGUCGAACGGUAACAGAAAGCAGCUUGCUGCUUUGCUGACGAGUGGCGGACGGGUGAGUAAUGUCUGGGAAACUGCCUGAUGGAGGGGGAUAACUACUGGAAACGGUGGCUAAUACCGCAUAACGUCGCAAGACCAAAGAGGGGGACCUUCGGGCCUCUUGCCAUCAGAUGUGCCCAGAUGGGAUUAGCUUGUUGGUGAGGUAACGGCUCACCAAGGCGACGAUCCCUAGCUGGUCUGAGAGGAUGACCAGCCACACUGGAACUGAGACACGGUCCAGACUCCUACGGGAGGCAGCAGUGGGGAAUAUUGCACAAUGGGCGCAAGCCUGAUGCAGCCAUGCCGCGUGUAUGAAGAAGGCCUUCGGGUUGUAAAGUACUUUCAGCGGGGAGGAAGGUGUUGUGGUUAAUAACCGCAGCAAUUGACGUUACCCGCAGAAGAAGCACCGGCUAACUCCGUGCCAGCAGCCGCGGUAAUACGGAGGGUGCAAGCGUUAAUCGGAAUUACUGGGCGUAAAGCGCACGCAGGCGGUCUGUCAAGUCGGAUGUGAAAUCCCCGGGCUCAACCUGGGAACUGCAUUCGAAACUGGCAGGCUUGAGUCUUGUAGAGGGGGGGUAGAAUUCCAGGUGUAGCGGUGAAAUGCGUAGAGAUCUGGAGGAAUACCGGUGGCGAAGGCGGCCCCCUGGACAAAGACUGACGCUCAGGUGCGAAAGCGUGGGGAGCAAACAGGAUUAGAUACCCUGGUAGUCCACGCCGUAAACGAUGUCUACUUGGAGGUUGUGCCCUUGAGGCGUGGCUUCCGGAGCUAACGCGUUAAGUAGACCGCCUGGGGAGUACGGCCGCAAGGUUAAAACUCAAAUGAAUUGACGGGGGCCCGCACAAGCGGUGGAGCAUGUGGUUUAAUUCGAUGCAACGCGAAGAACCUUACCUGGUCUUGACAUCCACGGAAGUUUUCAGAGAUGAGAAUGUGCCUUCGGGAACCGUGAGACAGGUGCUGCAUGGCUGUCGUCAGCUCGUGUUGUGAAAUGUUGGGUUAAGUCCCGCAACGAGCGCAACCCUUAUCCUUUGUUGCCAGCGGUUAGGCCGGGAACUCAAAGGAGACUGCCAGUGAUAAACUGGAGGAAGGUGGGGAUGACGUCAAGUCAUCAUGGCCCUUACGACCAGGGCUACACACGUGCUACAAUGGCGCAUACAAAGAGAAGCGACCUCGCGAGAGCAAGCGGACCUCAUAAAGUGCGUCGUAGUCCGGAUUGGAGUCUGCAACUCGACUCCAUGAAGUCGGAAUCGCUAGUAAUCGUGGAUCAGAAUGCCACGGUGAAUACGUUCCCGGGCCUUGUACACACCGCCCGUCACACCAUGGGAGUGGGUUGCAAAAGAAGUAGGUAGCUUAACCUUCGGGAGGGCGCUUACCACUUUGUGAUUCAUGACUGGGGUGAAGUCGUAACAAGGUAACCGUAGGGGAACCUGCGGUUGGAUCACCU
rnacentral:rRNA from 1 species